UACAGAGGUCUCAAGCGUUGUUCGGAUUCAUUGGGCGUAAAGGGUGCGUAGGCGGCGCGGUAAGUCGGGUGUGAAAUCUCGGAGCUUAACUUCGAAACUGCAUUCGAUACUGCCGUGCUUGAGGACUGGAGAGGAGACUGGAAUUUACGGUGUAGCGGUGAAAUGCGUAGAUAUCGUAAGGAAGACCAGUGGCGAAGGCGGGUCUCUGGACCAACACUGACACUGAUGAGCGAAAGCCAGGGGAGCAAACGGG
rnacentral:rRNA from 1 species